rnacentral:lncRNA from 12 species
GGGGGAGAAGCGGGAGGUGAAUUAUGGAUCAAGGUUAAAAAUGGAGCGGGAGGGGGGGAAAUCUGAUGGAAAAUUCAUCAGUGAUGGCAAAACCAGCCCCGUGGGCACGGGCCAGGCUGGCACCAGCCCGAGGACGGGGGACAGCGGCUCCGAUGGCGUGAGACCCCCCCCCAAAAUGGCUUUUUGGUGGCCUCGUGCCAGGCGCUGGCAGCGUGCAGGGACUUCCAGGCAUCCCUGGGCUCUCGCAGCUUCCCUGGAAAUCAAAUCCCAGCGUGCGCUGGAUGAGUUAGGAGCGGAAGGACAAGUCCCUGUCACCUCUUUGUCUGUCCCCUUGUCCCCUUCCCCUGCCUGCCUGGGCUGGGAAGGGCUGGGAUGGGGCAGAGCAUCCCGGGGAUCCCGGAUUUGGCACUCCGGGCUGGACGGGCCCUGUGAGCAACGGCUGCAGAUGAGGGCUGAGCCCCCCCUGGGGUCUCUGGGGGGGCUGAGCCCCUCCUGGGGUCUCUGGGGGGGCUGAGCCCCCCCUGGGGUCUCUGACAGGACAUGGGGGAGCUGUCCCACCCCCCCU